CAUCGCCUCCUGCCCACUCAGCAUAGGAGGUCCCGCCUGCCCUGUGACCAAAAGUUUAACGGCCGCGGUAUUUUAACCGUGCAAAGGUAGCGCAAUCAAUUGUCUUUUAAAUGAAGACCUGUAUGAAUGGCAUAACGAGGGUUUAACUGUCUCUUUUUUCAGGUCAAUGAAACUGAUCUGUCCGUGCAGAAGCGGACAUACUAACACAAGACGAGAAGACCCUAUGGAGCUUUAGACGCCCACCAACCACGAAAAGCAGCCUACCUUAACAGAUGCUCUAAACAACGCGGUCCUGGUACAAACGUCUUCGGUUGGGGCGACCGCGGAGGAGAACAAAGCCUCCGAGAGGAAUGGGAACAAACCCUAAAACCAAGAGCCACAGCUCUAAGUCACAAAAAAUUUGACCGACAAUGAUCCGGCUUACUGCCGAUCAACGGACCAAGUUACCCUAGGGAUAACAGCGCAAUCCCCUCCCAGAGUCCAUAUCGACGAGGGGGUUUACGACCUCGAUGUUGGAUCAGGACAUCCUAAUGGUGCAGCCGCUAUUAAGGGUUCGUUUGUUCAACGAUUAAAGUCCUACGUG
rnacentral:rRNA from 1 species